AACGAACGCUGGCGGCAUGCCUAACACAUGCAAGUCGAACGAGAUCUUCGGGUCUAGUGGCGCACGGGUGCGUAACGCGUGGGAAUCUGCCCUUUGGUCGGAAUAACAGUUGGAAACGACUGCUAAUACCGGAUGAUGACGAAAGUCCAAAGAUUUAUCGCCAGAGGAUGAGCCCGCGUAGGAUUAGCUAGCUGGUGUGGUAAAGGCGCACCAGGGCGACGAUCCUUAGCUGGUCUGAGAGGAUGAUCAGCCACACUGGGACUGAGACACGGCCCAGACUCCUACGGGAGGCAGCAGUGGGGAAUAUUGGACAAUGGGCGAAAGCCUGAUCCAGCAAUGCCGCGUGAGUGAUGAAGGCCUUAGGGUUGUAAAGCUCUUUUACCCGGGAUGAUAAUGACAGUACCGGGAGAAUAAGCCCCGGCUAACUCCGUGCCAGCCGCCGCCUAA
rnacentral:rRNA from 1 species